GAUGAACGCUGGCGGCGUGCCUAAUACAUGCAAGUCGAGCGAACAGACGAGGAGCUUGCUCCUCUGACGUUAGCGGCGGACGGGUGAGUAACACGUGGAUAACCUACCUAUAAGACUGGGAUAACUUCGGGAAACCGGAGCUAAUACCGGAUAAUAUAUUGAACCGCAUGGUUCAAUAGUGAAAGACGGUUUUGCUGCCACUUAUAGAUGGAUCCGCGCUGCAUUAGCUAGUUGGUAAGGUAACGGCUUACCAAGGCAACGAUGCGUAGCCGACCUGAGAGGGUGAUCGGCCACACUGGAACUGAGACACGGUCCAGACUCCUACGGGAGGCAGCAGUAGGGAAUCUUCCGCAAUGGGCGAAAGCCUGACGGAGCAACGCCGCGUGAGUGAUGAAGGUCUUCGGAUCGUAAAACUCUGUUAUUAGGGAAGAACAAAUGUGUAAGUAACUAUGCACAUCUUGACGGUACCUAAUCAGAAAGCCACGGCUAACUACGUG
rnacentral:rRNA from 1 species